UUAAUUGACUCAAAUCAUAUAGGAGAGAAAAGCAACUUUCGUUUGGAUCAAAUCUUUAUUGCUCACUAAGAUGAAGCAAGGGAAGACUCAUGUCGAAACAUAGGCACACAUACACGUCAACAAACAAUUAAACAGAGUCAACCCGAACUUGAGAUAAGAAGUCGCCAAUGGCUCGAGGAGACCGAGUUGACUCGAUAAACACACAAGUCCACCUUGACUGGAGACUAGGAUAGGCUGAGGGCGCAUUUUAUUAAUCGGAAAUGGCUUCUUUUUGCUUGAAACAAAUAAGUGGCCUGGUCGACAAGGAGACAACAAGAGGUAAAGGCAUUUUGGACGACGAAUGUUGGGCCACAGAAAAUAAAGGAGUAAUGUAAGGCGGCUGUGGGAGAUUGAAAGAGAAAGGAAAUAGUGGAAAAGAAGGAAAGGGUGAACAUGAGACGAAAGCAAAGGUGCCCAGGUUCAAAUAGGCAGCAGCAUCACAUUCAAUGGAGAAAUUAAGAAUCUUACCUCACGACCAAAUUGGGCAGGAAACUUCUCAUUCUCUUCAAUUAAAUGUAAUAGGAUUGAACCUUCAGGCAGUUCCACAUAGAAGCAGCUAAAAUUCUUAUCAAA